rnacentral:rRNA from 1 species
UAACGCGAAGAACCUUACCAAGUCUUGACAUCCAUCUGACAGAGAGGGUAAUGCCUCUUUCCCUUCGGGACAGGAAUGACAGGUGGUGCAUGGUUGUCGUCAGCUCGUGUCGUGAGAUGUUGGGUUAAGUCCCGCAACGAGCGCAACCCUUGUCCUUAGUAGCCAGCAUGUUGAGAUGGGAACUCUAAGGAGACUGCCAGGGAUAACCUGGAGGAAGGUGGGGAUGACGUCAAAUCAUCAUGCCCCUUAUGGCCAGGGCUACACACGUGCUACAAUGGCGUAAACAAAGGGAGGCAACCCCGCGAGGGCAAGCAAACCCCAAAAAAUGCGUCUCAGUUCGGAUUGCAGGCUGCAACCCGCCUGCAUGAAGCUGGAAUCGCUAGUAAUCGCAGAUCAGAAUGCUGCGGUGAAUACGUUCCCGGGUCUUGUACACACGC